rnacentral:rRNA from 1 species
GACGAACCGUGCGAACGUUAUUCGGAAUCACUGGCUUAAAGCGCGUGUAGGCGGGACGGCACGUCGGUCGCUGAAAGCCCCGGCUCAACCGGGGAAGUGGCGCCGAUACGACCGCCCUGGAGGACGUAGGGGACCUGGAACUUCCGGUGGAGCGGUGAAAUGCGCAGAUAUCAGGAGGAACGACCGAUGGCGAAGGCAGGUCUCUGGGCGAUUAACUGACGCUGGAGGAGCGAAAGCAUGGGGAGCG